rnacentral:rRNA from 1 species
UGGGGAAUCUUGCGCAAUGGGCGAAAGCCUGACGCAGCGACGCCGCGUGGGUGACGAAGGCCUUCGGGUUGUAAAGCCCUGUGGGGGGAGACGAACCGGCUCGUGGCUAACAUCCACGGGCCCUGACGGUAUCCCUUUAGCAAGCAUCGGCUAACUCUGUGCCAGCAGCCGCGGUAAGACAGAGGAUGCAAACGUUGCUCGGAAUUACUGGGCGUAAAGCGCGCGCAGGCGGUUCGGUAAGUCAGGUGUGAAAUCCCGGGGCUCAACCUCGGAAGGGCACAUGAUACUGCCAAACUUGAGUACUGGAGAGGAGAGUGGAAUUCCCGGUGUAGAGGUGAAAUUCGUAGAUAUCGGGAGGAACACCAGUGGCGAAGGCGACUCUCUGGACAGAUACUGACGCUGAGGCGCGAAAGCGUGGGAAGCAAACAG